GUGAACACUAUUGGAACGCUGAGCCAUUGACUGCACCAGACGGUAAUAUGCUAGUGGGUUUCUUUUGACAAUGAAGCACAGGACUACAGACGUAUCGUUUUAAACCUAGAAGACCUAUAGACGGGAGUAGGCAAGAAGGACUAGUAACGUUUAGUGGGUCAGAGAAGUAUGGCAAGGAGCCACGGCAUGAAUCACGCAUCCAGGUCAAGGCUUGCAAUAUCAGAAGGAACAUAAAGCACUCCGUGCUAUCAGCAGGUCAGCAGGAACAUGGACCACUCCGUGCCAGUGAGUUUGCUGGGUUAUGGAACUCCAGAGCAGCACAUUAACAAACCUGCCACACGGUUGUCACCUAUCCACAGACCUUCAACUGACACAUUUUGGGGAUGACCAAAUGCAAUUGUUUUUUUCUUCAUAUAAACAACUAAUAUAAGUCCAUGUGACAGCAUGCAGUGGUCUGAUUGGGAGAUUAAAAUAGAUGCAUUAUGCACCUUUCAUCACUGCACAUGUUGCUGAACAAAAUCAACCCGUUUGUUUGGGUCAUUGAUAUGGGAAAUUUACAUACGAAUAGUCAGUUCAUAAGCAUUGAGUGUAACAGAGAGACUGCUGCUGUUCUCCCAGGUAAGGACCUUGCUUCCGUACAAUUGGUCCAGCAUCGUCCGGGUUAGGGGAGGGUUUGGCCGAGGGGUAGGCCGUCAUUGUAAAUAAGAUUUUGUUCUUUAACUGACUUGCCUAGUUAAAUAAAGGUUUCAAUAAAAUAACUCCAGGGUCCUGUAGUGAAAGACGGCUAUGUAAUAUUGAUCUAGGAACAGCUCCCUCUUUGUCAAUGGAAUCAUUCAUUGUGAUAUAAAAGAAAAAGGCUAAACUGAUCCUAAAUCAGUACACCCUACUCUGAGAGGCCCUGGUCUGUCUGCAUUGCUGCUUUUCUAGUGAUUUAACUCCCAUUGAAUCACCACCAAAAACACUAAGAAUUAUCCUAGUCAGUAACUUGGCUGACUAAAAAAAACGUAGUUUUCCCAUCUACGUAACAUUGCAAAAAAAAAAUGUUUUUAAAUCAACUUUGUCCAAAAAAAAAUGAUGCAGAAAAGUUCAAACAUGUUUUUGAUCACUUCUAGAUUAGACUACUGCCAUGCACUAUUCGUCGACUACCCGGAUAAAGCACAAAAUAAACUUCAGUUAGUGCUAAACACGGUAGAAUCUUGACUAGAACCCCCCUCCAAAAUAAUGUGAUCAUAUUACUCCAGUGCUAGCCUCUACACUGGCUUCCCAUUAUGGUGUAAUGGCAAGUCUACAAAGCAUUACAUGGACUUGCUCCUAUCUAUCUUUCUGAUUUGGUCCUGCCGUACAUACCUACACGUACGCUACGUUCACAAGACACAGGCCUCCUUACUGUCCCUAGAAUUUCUACGUUUUCUCUUAUAGAGCUGCAUUUUUAUGAAAUGGUCUGCCUAUCCAUGUGAGAGAUGCAGACUCGGUCUUGACCUUUAAGUCUUCACUCAAGACUCAUCUCUUCGGUAGGUCCUAUGAUUGAGUGUAGUCUGGUCGAGGGGUGUGAAGGUGAAAGGAAAGGCACUGGAGCAACGAACCGUCCUUGCUGUCUCUGCCUGGCCGGGUUCCCUCCUCUCCAGCGGGAUUCUCUGCCUCUAACCCUACUACGAGGGCUGAGUCACCGCCAAUGUCUUCACUAGUUGAACAUGUUAUUAAUCCAACUACGUGAAAGUCCUUAGGUGUGUUUGAAUACUAACUACCCUAACAUACAAUUUGCAACAGAAAUGUAAUAUGUAGUAUACAAGCAGUGGACAGUAUUUGCGUACUUUUAGGGACCAUAAUGCAAUUCUUCCGAAAAUGGGCUUGGCUUCACUACAUUUUCAAAUUUGAAGAAAAUAUGCAGC